rnacentral:tRNA from 1 species
GCCAGCGUAGCUCAGUCGGUAGAGCAGCUGUUUCGUAAACAGCAGGUCGGAGGUUCGAGCCCUCUCGCUGGCUCCA